rnacentral:rRNA from 1 species
AGAGUUUGAUCCUGGCUCAGGGCGAACGCUGGCGGCACGCCUCAUACAUGCAAGUCGAGCGAUCGGAUACUGGGUGCUUGCACCCGGUAUCACGGAGCGGCGAACGGGUGAGUAACACGUGGGCAACCUGCCUCGAGGACGGGGAUAACUCCGGGAAACUGGGGCUAAUACCCGAUGACCUUUUUGGAUCGCAUGAUCCGAUAAGCAAAAGGUUCUUCCGCCUCGAGAGGGGCUCACGGCCUAUCAGCUUGUUGGUGGGGUAAUGGCCUACCAAGGCUUUGACGGGUAGCCGGCCUGAGAGGGUGUCCGGCCACAUCGGGACUGAGACACGGCCCGAACUCCUACGGGAGGCAGCAGUAGGGAAUCUUGCACAAUGGGCGAAAGCCUGAUGCAGCGAUGCCGCGUGAGGGAUGAAGGCCUUCGGGUUGUAAACCUCUUUCAGUAGGGAAGAAGCCACGGGACACCGUGGUGACGGUACCUGCAGAAGAAGCCCCGGCUAACUACGUGCCAGCAGCCGCGGUAAAACGUAGGGGGCUAGCGUUGCCCGGAUUCACUGGGCGUAAAGCGGGUGUAGGCGGUUCUUUAAGUCGGAUGUGAAAUCCAGCGGCCCAACCGCUGAAUUGCAUCCGAUACUGGGGAACUUGAGGACGGUAGAGGUCGGUGGAAUUCCCGGUGUACCGGUGAAAUGGACAGAUAUCGGGAGGAACACCAGUGGCGAAGGCGGCCGACUGGGCCGAUCCUGACGCUGAGACCCGAAAGCCAGGGUAGCGAACCGGAUUAGAUACCCUAGUAGUCC